CUACUGCCACAGCAAAGGAGGCACUACUAACAAGAAAGUGGCUUUCCCAAGGCGGGUCUGAUCUAUUGUACUCACGAGGUGCUGAUCCCUUGAAUUUCUUCAACUGUAGGAAAUUUAAAUGCACAUUUUGUGGAACUGGAGAACUGUCUUCAGAAUUUUUUUUU